UACGUAGGGGGCUAGCGUUGUCCGGAUUUAUUGGGCGUAAAGAGCGUGUAGGCGGCCAUGUAGGUCCGGUGUGAAAACUCGAGGCUUAACCUCGAGAUGUCAUCGGAAACCAUUUGGCUAGAGUCCGGAAGAGGAGAGUGGAAUUCCUGGUGUAGCGGUGAAAUGCGCGGAUAUCAGGAAGAACACCAAUGGCGAAAGCAGCUCUCUGGGACGGUACUGACGCUGAGACGCGAAAGCGUGGGGAGCGAACAGG
rnacentral:rRNA from 1 species